UUAUGGCCAUAUCAUGUUGAAACACCAGUUCUCAUAUGAUCACUGAAGUUAAGCAAUGUCAAACCUGGUCAGCACCUAGAUGGGUGACCACUAGGGAAUACCAG